AAGUGUGAAAAUUUGUAAAUUACUUCAAUAAACAACACAAAAGUGUAUAACGUAAAUAAGUAAACGUUUUAGCCGCGCGGUUUUCCUAAAUUACUUGCAUGCGGCGAUUGAAGAAACUGUCCAAGAGUCACAGUGUGACGGGAACACAAGAGACCGAUGGAUCCGCAACAACAGCGGCAACAACAACAGCAGCAGCAGCAUCGACUGAUGCGGCCGAGGCAGAUACCAAUGGCGGCAGCAGUGUGGCUAACACACUGAAAGAAACCCUAUUGAAUGCAGAUAUAUUUAAGCAUUUUGAUAAAUCCGGGAGAAGCGAAUUUUUGAAAUACUUAAAACAACAGCUACAGGAUACGCCAGAUAGUCCCGUCUUCGAUCGGAAUGGCACAUUCAAGCUUGGCAUCUCGAAUGCCAUCUAUCAACUGAUAUGGCAAGCCUUGCGCUUCAAGGUGAAGAAGGACGUACUCCUGCACGUGCUCAACGAUGUUGUGGCGCUGCACAAGGAGUUCCCAAGCCUUAUACUGGAUGUGGUUAACAUACUGGACAGCGAAACCUCCCUAAUGACUGAUGGCCUGCAGGAGGAGCGUCACAGUUUUGUGCAAAUCGUCAAGGAUCUGGAUAAGGUGCUGCCGGAGAGCCUGCUUAAGGAGCGGCUGGAAAUUGAUACGCUACAAGAAGUGGGCAUUGUGAAAAACAAAAGCUUUUAUACCAAGUUUAUUAAGGUCAAGACUAAGUUAUAUUACAAACAACGUCGCUUUAAUCUGUUUCGCGAAGAGAGCGAGGGCUUUGCCAAGCUUAUUACGGAACUAAAUCAGGACUUCGAUGAGCAUACAACGCCCGCUGCCAUUAUGGACAUAAUCAAGUCGUUAAUAGGCUGCUUUAAUUUAGAUCCUAACCGCGUACUAGACAUUAUCAUAGAGUCCUUUGAGACACGCCCAGAUCGCUGGAAGCUGUUUAUACCAUUGCUGCGUAGCUAUAUGCCUACCGGUGCCAUUAUAUGCGAAGUCUUAGGCUACAAAUUUUGUUAUUUUUAUGCCAGCCGCACGCCACGCUCUCUUUACCAUGUGUGUGCGCUGCUGCUGAAGCAUGGGGUGAUUGAACUCAAUGAUGUGUAUGUUUGGCUGGCGCCAAAUGAUGCACAAAUACGUGCGGAUUGGGAUGCAGAUCUGGCCGACGCUAGAGAAAUGGUGCGCAAGCUGCAUGUCAUCUGCACAAACAAAAAGGAGGAGGACAAGGAUGCAGUGCAGCCGUCAACUAAGAAAUUCGAUGAGGAUAAGUACUGUGGCAAUCAAAAGUUUGGUCUGUGCGAGGCACUUCUCAAAGUGGGCGAUUGGGAGAAUGCCUAUAGAAUUAUACAAAAACUGCCGGAGCAGAGUGUUGUGGUACAGGAGCCCAUAGCGCGUGCCAUUAUUGAGCUAGUGCAUCUGUCUGUGGAGCAGAUUUACUAUAAGAAGGUGUUCAAGGCUCCAGCUGGACGCAAGCAAAGCCGCAAUCGCAUAUAUGACGAUACCAAGCUGCUGGCCAAGAUGCAAGCGCGCGAAUUUAGCGAUUUACGUAAAUACACUUGGCCCAUGGCCAAUGUGCUGGGCCCUUCCAUGUACCAUGACACGGUUUUAAUGUACAAAUUGACACGCAUUAUGUGCAAAAUAUUGCUGGAUCUCGGUGUGGAUAAUCUAAAUGGGCCAGCGCCAAAUACUGAGGCAGAGCAGCAUUAUUAUGAAAUAAUUAGCUGCCUGGAUGCGUCCAUAUUGCCUGCUCUGCUGUAUCUGGACAACAAUUGUUCCAUGUCUGAGGAAAUUUGGGCGGUGCUCAAAUUCUUUCCCUAUCAUCUGCGCUACAGUCUGUACGGACGCUGGAAGAACGACAGCUAUCAGUUGCAUCCGAAUCUUAUACGUCGCUGUGGCCUUGCCCAGCGUGACAUUAAGGCGUUGAUGAAGCGCGUCAGCAAGGAGAAUGUGAAACCGCUGGGACGACUGGUGGGCAAGUAUAGUCACUGCACGCCGGGCUUGCUCUUUGACUAUAUACUUGUGCAAAUUCAGAUGUACGACAAUUUGAUUGGACCUGUUUGCGAUAUGCUCAAGUAUUUGACGGCGCUGUCCUUUGAUUGCUUGGGUUACUGCAUAAUUGAGUCCUUGACGAUGACGGGACGUGGACGCUUUAAGGAUGAUGGCACGUCGUUGUCGUUGUGGCUACAAAGUCUGGCCUCAUUUUGCGGCACUAUCUAUAAAAAGUACAACAUUGAGAUGAGCGGCCUGCUGCAAUAUGUGGCCAAUCAGUUGAAAUCACAAAAGAGUUUGGAUCUGCUUGUGCUACGCGAGAUUGUGCAUAAAAUGGCCGGCGUUGAGUCCUGCGAGGAAAUGACCAACGAUCAGCUGCAGGCGCUUUGCGGUGGUGAACAGCUGCGUGGAGAGGCUGGUUACUUUAGCCAGGUGCGCAACACCAAAAAGUCUUCCAAUCGUUUAAAGGAAGCGCUGGCCAACAACGAUUUGGCUGUUACGCUUUGUCUGCUAAUGGCGCAGCAGAAACAUUGCGUUAUCUAUCGUGAAACAGCUGCACAUAGUCAUCUCAAGCUGGUGGGCAGCUUGUACGAUCAGUGCCAGGAUGCGCUGGUGCAGUUUGGCACCUUCUUGGGCUCCAGCUAUUCAGUGGAUGAAUAUGUGGAGCGACUGCCAUCGAUUAUAACAAUGCUGCGCGAGUAUCAUAUUAACACCGAUGUGGCCUUUUUCUUAGCGCGUCCCAUGUUUACGCAUCAGAUUAAUCAAAAGUAUGAUCAGCUGCGCAAGGCAGAUCCCAAUGCCAAGAAGCUAACAACAGCGCAAAAGCUGCAGAAAUAUUUGGAGGCUACGCAGCUGAUUAUGAGCCCCAUUGUGGAGUCGGUUAGACCGCUGCACAGCAUCAAAGUAUGGGAGGAUAUUAGUCCACAGUUUUUGGUUACUUUCUGGAGCCUUAGCAUGUACGAUCUGCAUGUGCCCAAUGAUAUUUAUCAGCGUGAAAUUGGCAAGCUAAAGCAAUUGGCACAACAGGCAGCCGAUGGCAAGGAUUCGAAUCAGUCGAAAAACAAAAAGGAGCAGGAGCGUUAUAUAGCGCUAAUGGAAAAGCUGAGCGACGAGCGCAAGAAGCAGCAUGAGCAUGUGGACAAGAUACUGCAACGUCUGCAGGAGCAAAAGGACAGUUGGUUUUUGCUGCGUUCGGCGAAAUCGGCCAAGAACGAUACGAUUACACAGUUCCUGCAGCUGUGCCUAUUUCCACGCUGCACCUUCACCGCUUUGGAUGCGCUCUACUGCGCCAAGUUCGUGCAGACCAUACACAAUCUAAAGACGGCGAACUUUAGCACGCUGCUGUGCUACGAUAGACUGUUCUGUGACAUAACCUACUCGGUUACUUCCUGCACGGAGGGCGAGGCUACGCGUUAUGGUCGCUUCUUGUGCGCCAUGCUGGAGACUGUUAUGCGCUGGCAUGCGGAUCAGGCGGUGUUCAACAAGGAGUGUGCUAAUUAUCCAGGCUUUGUCACCAAGUUCCGUGUCAGCAAUCAGUUCUCGGAGGCCAACGAUCAUGUGGGCUAUGAGAACUAUCGGCAUGUGUGCCACAAGUGGCACUACAAGAUUACAAAAGCAAUUGUCUUCUGCUUGGACUCGAAGGACUUUAUGCAAAUACGUAAUGCGCUUAUUAUUUUAAUGCGCAUCCUACCACACUAUCCGGUGCUGUCUAAGCUGGCGCAGAUUAUUGAACGCAAGGUGGACAAAGUGCGCGAAGAGGAGAAGACAAAGCGUCCCGAUCUGUUUGCCAUUGCCUCCAGUUAUAUUGGACAGCUCAAGCAAAAGACGCCACACAUGUUCAAGGAAAGCGAUUUCCAUCAAAUUGCUGAGCGUCCUACACCAGCUGUUGUCACUCCUGUUAAGGUGACUGCCAGCGAUAAAACAACAACGACAACGACGACGACUACAACGCCAGCUGCAGCUGCAGCAAAGCCCACCACUGCCGUGCCCGUCUACAACAACGAACAGAAACCGUCCAGCAAAGAGCAGGACACCAAAUCAGCUGCCAGCAAGUCUAGCAAGCCAGAUGCCGGCACAGUGCCAGCAAAAUCAAUUUCAGCGCCUGCCGCCAGCGAACGCGAAAGCAAACGCGAUGCAGCUCAAGCGACAGCAAGGGAAACGCAGUCGAAUCGCAAUACGGAGACGCGUGACGAGCUGCAGUCGAGCAGCAACAAUGGCAAUGCAAACAGCAGCAGCAAUGGCAGCCAAAUUGAGCGCCGUAGUCGCGAGGCUGAGCGUGAACGCGAGCGCGAACGUGAGGAGCGUCAUAGCAUGAGCAGCACGCGCAGCUCACAAAGGGAUCGCGGCAACAUUAACAAGGAGCCACGCACUGAAGCAGAAAUACAGCAACGCGCACGUGAACGGGCGCAGCGUCUGGAAGAGCUGGAGGCAGCAGCGCAGCGAGGUUUGAAGCGUGAGAAGCCGUCGAGGCGUGAGGAGCGCAAUCAACAUAGACACGACGCCUUGGAGACUGUGGACUUGAUUAACAAUCAGGAUCAUCGUCACUUUGAUGAAUACGAUGGUCGCCAGCGGGAUCGUGAUCUCAGUUCAGUAUCCAACGAAAGCAACGCAUCCUUGCAAAUUCGUCGCAGCCUUGACGCACUUGAAUAUGAAAAAGUUGAUUCGAAACGUCGUAAAUUGGAAGCGUCGUCAAGCAGUUCAAAGGUUAGUAGCAUAUGGUGGCAUGCGUACGCAAAUGAAUUGUAAAACAUGCGAGAGGAAUACCCAAACCAACUCAUCCCAUCCAAAAACAAAGAGCUGGAUACAACCGGAUCUCAUGCUAGUUAUCAAACGCAGUCGUUUUUAAGUAUACACAAGUGUUGCAAUGGGGGCCAGUUAGUUAUAAGUUUUGUUUAGUUUGUAAGCGCACAGUUGAACUGGAUAUGUAUUAUAUUAGUUGCUCAUUGAAAUGUAGGUACAAUUUAGGUAUAUUUUUAUAUGAAUUUACUAUUGUUGGCUAGUUAGUUGUAAGUUAAGCUAGUGUUAUAAGUUAAAAGACGAAGAAGACAAUACGAAGACGUUGCUGGACAAAAUACUCGCUUGGACAACGUUAAACUUUUUGGACUUCGGCGCUAUACUGGAAGCAGCAAAUCCUUAAGCUUAAUUUGGAAGCAUAUCUACAAACAAAAAAAAACUUAAAAUUAAAUCAACGCUGGAACACAAAGCCCAAGAUGCUAUAACAAAAAGCAGCAACAACAAUAUUUAAACCGAGAUGUGAACUACACUUGACGCAUAAGCCAUAAAGAGGUCUUGCUAUAUGUAAAUAACAACGCACAAACUUAAACAUAACAUCAGACUAUAACUAAUAGUCAAUGGAAUCAAAAUGCAGCAGUUUACUUCGAUGAAAGAGAUGACUCAACAUUCCCCAGUACACUCCAUACACCAUAAGCUAUAACGAUAGUGAUAAAAAGACAUACACAAAUGUGUUAAAAUGUAAAUCUACAAAACAGCCCAGAAGAAACUUGAAGCCGAUGAUCCGUUCUCAACUGUAUUUUGGAGGAGUGACACUUCAGGGAAGCUACAGCUCAACGAGAUGAGAACCGAAGCAAAUAGUAACAAUGGGACAUCAUUUUAUCAAACUCACCCAAAUGAGAACUGAAGCAGAUUGUCCGUGUAUUCGUAGCAACUUUAUCGAAUUGGCAGCCACAAUUUCAACAUGGCUAUUUCUUUUAAAUGGAACCAAACGAAACUCCGUCCAAAAGCAAUCAUCUUUUGUAAAAACCACGACAAUCAUGACAAGUGUGAGCUGUCCAAACGGAAACUGGAUUCAUUGUAUACCUUCUGAUUAAGUCAGCGCCCCCCUCCGACUGUAUACUCAACUGUAACUGCCGUAAGAUCUUCUGGUGCGACUUCCACACCAUCCAACACAGUGACUGCCAUUUAGUUGUAAAUUCGUUGAGCUCGAUUGUGUGAGCUAACGGAAGGUAGAGGAACUCGUAGAUAGCGUGAAGAAGGCGCGAGGUCUCAAAACCAAAGAGCGCAACAAAGACAAGGCAACCGAAGAGGAGC